rnacentral:rRNA from 1 species
AGAACGAACGCUGGCGGCAGGCUUAACACAUGCAAGUCGAGCGGAAAGGCCCUUCGGGGUACUCGAGCGGCGAACGGGUGAGUAACACGUGAGCAACCUGCCCUUAGCUCUGGGAUAGCUCCGGGAAACCGGAAUUAAUACCAGAUACGACCACUUUAGACAUCUGUCGUGGUGGAAAGGAUUCCGGCUAGGGAUGGGCUCGCGGCCUAUCAGCUUGUUGGUGGGGUAACGGCCUACCAAGGCGACGACGGGUA